UACGUAGGGUGCAAGCGUUGUCCGGAAUUAUUGGGCGUAAAGGGCUCGUAGGCGGUCCAUCGCGUCGGGAGUGAAAAGCUGGGGCUUAACCCCAGUCCUGCUUCCGAUACGGGUGGACUAGAGGUAGGUAGGGGAGAUCGGAAUUCCUGGUGUAGCGGUGAAAUGCGCAGAUAUCAGGAGGAACACCAAUGGCGAAGGCAGCUCGCUGGGACGUGACUGACGCUGAGACGCGAAAGCGUGGGGAGCAAACAGG
rnacentral:rRNA from 1 species